CAACUCCCUGAGUGGUGGGGAUGAUUAUUGGGCUUAAAGCGUCCGUAGCUGGCCUGGUUAGUCCCGCGUUAAAUCCAGCGACCUAAUCGUUGGGCUGCGGGGGAUACGGUCAGGCUAGGAGGCGGGAGAGGUUAGCGGUACUCCAGGGGUAGGGGUGAAAUCCAGUAAUCCCGGGAGGACCACCAGUGGCGAAGGCUGCUAACCAGAACGCGCUCGACGGUGAGGGACAAAAGCUGGGGGAGCGAACCGGAUUAGAUACCCGAGUAGUCC
rnacentral:rRNA from 1 species